rnacentral:misc_RNA from 1 species
AACGCACCUUGCGCUCCUCGGUGUUCCGAGGAGCAUGCCUGUUUGAGCGUCAGUAAAUUCUUAACCCCUCUCGAUUAGCUUCGAAAGGGCGCUUGGAUAGUGGGGGCUGCCGGAGAUCUGGACUUUUCGUCUGGGACUCGGGCUCUCCUGAAAUGAAUGGGCUUGCGGUCGGCUUUCGACUAUGCAUGACAAGGCUUUUGGCGUGAUAAUGAUCGCCGCUCGCCGAAGUGCAUGAAUGAACGGUCCCGUGCCUCUAAUGCGUCGAUGCCUUCUGGCGUCUUCCUUAUUGACUUUUGACCUCAAAUCAGGUAGGACUACCCGCUGAACUUAA